UACAGAGGGUGCGAGCGUUAAUCGGAAUUACUGGGCGUAAAGCGCACGUAGGCGGCUUGGUAUGUCGGGUGUGAAAUCCCCGGGCUCAACCUGGGAACUGCAUCCGAAACUGCCUUGCUAGAGUAUGGGAGAGGGAAGUGGAAUUUCCGGUGUAGCGGUGAAAUGCGUAGAUAUCGGAAGGAACACCGGUGGCGAAGGCGGCAUCCUGGACCAAUAUUGACGCUGAGGAGCGAAAGCCAGGGGAGCAAACGGG
rnacentral:rRNA from 1 species